rnacentral:rRNA from 1 species
CCAGACUCCUACGGGAGGCAGCAGUGGGGGAUAUUGCACAAUGGGGGGAACCCUGAUGCAGCGACGCCGCGUGGGUGAAGGAGCGCUUCGGCGCGUAAAGCCCUAUCGGCAGGGGAGAAGAUGACGGUACCUGACCAAGAAGCCCCGGCUAACUACGUGCCAGCAGCCGCGGUAAUACGUAGGGGGCAAGCGUUAUCCGGAUUUACUGGGUGUAAAGGGGGCGCAGACGGCAAUGCAAGCCAGGAGUGAAAGCCCGGGGCCCAACCCCGGGACUGCUCUUGGAACUGCAUGGCUGGAGUACAGGAGGGGCAGGCGGAAUUCCUAGUGUAGCGGUGAAAUGCGUAGAUAUUAGGAGGAACACCGGUGGCGAAGGCGGCCUGCUGGACUGUGACUGACGUUGAGGCCCGAAAGCGUGGGGAGCGAACAGGAUUAGAUACCCUCGUA